GUGCUGCCUGGCGCGGCGCUGGAACCAGCUGGACCGCUCCGACGUGGCGGUGCCGCUCACUCUGCACGGCUACUCGGACCUCGACAGCGAGGAGCCGGGCACGGGCGGCGCCGCCUCGCGCAGGGGCCAGCCUCCCGCGGGCGCCCGGGAUUCCGGCCGGGACGUGCCGCUCACUCAGUACCAGCGGGACUUCGGCUUGUGGACCACGCCCGCCGGGCCCAAGGAUCCGCCGCCGGGGCGCGGACCGGGGGCGGGCGGCCGCAGGGGCAAAUCCUCCGCGCAGUCCUCCGCGCCACCUGCGCCCGGCGCCCGCGGGGUCUACGUGCUGCCCAUCGGCGACGCGGACGCGGCUGCAGCAGUGACCACGUCGUACAGGAAUUCCAGGCUUGGACUGGAGUGAAGCCCUCAAGAUCCACAAAGACAAAACCAGCCCGAGUCAUCACAACCCACACUUCGGGAUGGGACAGCAGCCCUGGGGCCGGCUUCCAGGUCCCAGAGGUGAGGAAGAAGUUCACUCCUAACCCCUCCGCCAUCUUUCAGGCCUCAGCU
rnacentral:lncRNA from 1 species